CUUAGCACCUAUUGGGGUGUAAAUAAGAGAUUGAGUUACUAUUGGGCAUACAGGACAUGUAAUGGGUAAAAAAAGUACCUAUUGAGCGUAUAUAUACAUGCACGUACUAGUGAUUAUCAAAGCCAAAACUUUGUUCCCCGAAGGUGUCCGUUUUAUGUAGACCACUUAAACUUUGUGCAAUGCUGACAUGUAAUGUCUAAACAACCUCUGCCACCUCUCUUUUUUGAGAGGCUUCAGUAGUUACGUAUCUACCUCCCUAAAAAUCUCUCUAAAUGCUGAGAAAUUAUCGGUGUUUUCUUCUGGUUCACAGACUGAGUUCAUUGUAGACAGUGAGGAGUGUGCACAGGGCCAGAGACACGGGAGCAAGCCUGGCAUCUCUCUCCAGUUUGAUGGCCACUGGGACCCAUCGCCAGCAUCAGCUCUUACCGGACAGCUGGGAAAACGUACGUGCUUUAUUUUAAAAGAAUGCCAGCCUGUUUUGAAUACAUUUUGUUAUGGGCAGUCAAAGAUAGUUGCAAAUGCCUCUGUAACAUUAUUCUAUGUACAUCUAGUCCGUCAAUUGGACACUAUUGGGUACGUACAUGUAUCCACUUUUUCAGUGGUGCUCCCUUUCUUGCACUGGGCGUAAGCACACAAACAGAGUGCUUAUACACUACACUUAUACAAGUAUGUAUUUCCUACUAAGUCAGUAGAGCUACUUUUUAGCUUAUUCUGUCUGAUCAUGUGUAUCAUUAUUAUUGUGGGGGGGGGUAUUAUUGCGUAUUAUUGCGUAUCAUGUGCGUUUUCUUGAACUUUGACCUCGACUGCCAAGUACGAGUACGAGUGGCAACCCAGAGUAAGGAAGUUACAAAUCUGCAUUAUACCCUACACCUACAAGACAUGAGUCAAAUACAUACAUGUAUGUAUAGCAUCAUACCAAUCGGCCUGAUACAAAAGAAAAAGCAUGUACCAUGACCGUCGGUUCUUGCACGUCCCUCCAAAUAAGCUGAAAGUAAACUCGAAGCAGCCACCCUCCCAACCAGCUCAACAGGUAGAGUUCAUGGGGAGCAGUGAUAUGAGAAUGAAGCAGCUAAGGAUGAUAUCAAAGAAUAGGAACAUAAAGCGAAUGACCUCGUGGAAUACGCUGGACGGCUCGCUUGUUGGGUUGUGAGAGGAAUCUUCCAUGCUGGUUGCACUGUUGCUCAACUUGGUCCAACCCGCUCCUGUCUCACACUCUCAUCAUUCAUGGGGAUUACCCCGCCCACCUACCAUUUGGGGCUGUGCCUCUGUUGGCUACUAGUAAGUAAGCCAGGCUGUUGUUACAACGACUCUAACAGUGUGUACAACAAGAAUUUUUGCGGACAAUAACCUCUGUAACACUUGGGUCAGACGAUGGUGUAACUGCCCCAAGAAAGGGUAUGAUGUGCACAAGGAAGAACUGUCAUUUAGAGCGUCUGGACGACCAACGAGGGAGCUGGCCGAUCAUCUCAGUAAGAUCGGAUCGUAGCGAAGGAACUCGUGACCAGCUACAAAAGGGGUUAACUUGUGAUGAGGAUGACUAUAAAAACUGGCCCCGUAGCAUCGACCUGUCGCCUUCCGUUCUACAGCUAAGUGGGGAGCAAGCCCAGCAUACAUCCAGUUUGAAGGCCACUGGGGACCCUAUCACCAGCCAUUUCUGUUGAGUGAUUGGGAGCAGAGCAACGAUAUCGAAACAGAAAUAGAAAGUGAAUGACCUCGCGACUGAGAGUUACGCCCUGAAGGAAGACGUAAAGCUGGACUUACUGGAGACUGCUGCCAGAAAAAAGUGGUUGACUCCUUCGGAAAGUUCAGACUGAGUUUAUUGUAGACAGUGAGGAGUGUGCACAGGGCCAGAGACACGGGAGCAAGCCUAGCAUCUUUCUCCAGUUUGAUGGCCACUGGGACCCAUCGCCAGCAUCAGCUCUUACCGGACAGCUGGGCAAACGUGAUGUACAGUUUGGAUUCAUUGAGAAUGACGCUAUUUUGAUGUGAGGAACUGAACUGGCAGUAUUUAAACAGUUACAGUCAAGAGAUGACCAUCGAGAGGCCUCUCUUCCAAUCGAACGCUACCAAGGUCACACACAGGAGGUGUGCAGACUCAGAUGGUCACCUGACGGUCAGCUCUUAGCCUCAGGUGGAGAUGACAACUAUGAUGUUUUCAGAGUACGAAGCUUGCAUGUACGUGUACGUGUACUUUAGAUUGAGUCAUCCAAUGCAAAUGUUCCUACACAAAGAUGCCUCUCAAUCAGGCAAAUAAGCAAAUAAGCAAAUAAGCAAAUAAAGCCUCUCUAUAGAAAACCCGUUUUCAGGUGCACCUGCACAGCAUGUAUAUCUCCCACUCACUUUUAGUCGCAUCAUUUAUAAUAGGGUCACAGGCCAAUGUUACGAGCUGUUGUAUACGCUUGCCCUCCCCCCUGUGCUCAAUUAGACACUAAUGUACUUUUUGUUAAACCAUAGAUACAGGAAGAGAGGGAUUGGCAACAAAAGCGCCUCGAAUAGCCAUCCGUGUUUCCCUGCGGUUUAAUUGAGGCCGCCUACUUUCAACGUUGGGAAAAAUGGCCAGACACAAAAUAAGAGACAAACGAUUGUUUUACUGUCAGUAUAAGAAUUUUGCUGCUUAACUUUCAGUUCAAUGCAGUGCUUUAGGCCAUAUGCUACACAGUACACUACUUAGUUAGGCAGCUCUAGCUAUAUUAUAGUAGCAGGAGGUACAUAGUGUCGCAUGUACCUCUAGCUACUUCACAACAAUUGAAAUUAUGUUUUUGUCAUCUCUAAAUGAUGCCUACAAGCAAGGGGCAUCGAAUAGAAGUGUUUUGGGGGCUUGGAAAGGUUGCCAUAAAGGUUGUUCUACCGCGUUGGGGAGGGAAACACGGAUGGCUUGUCAAGCUCUGUAUUGAUUUCAUGUAAUUUUAUAUGUGGCUUAUGGGCGCACGUGAUCCGUUGCCAAUCCCUCUCUUCCUGUAUAUAUGGUUAAACAAGCUGUUGCAUACGCUGUGCCCCCCCCCCGUGUUCCAUUAGACUAUUAUAAUAACGUACUUUUUGUAUGUUAUACAUGUAUACGCUGUGCCCCCCCCCCCGUGUUUCGUUAGACUUUUUAUGUGUUGUAUACGCUCUGCCCCCCCUGUGUUCCAUUAUAGUGUUAUAAUAAUGUAUGAUCGACUCUUUAUCAGAGAUAGGACCUUUGUCUCACAUAGUGUUUAUUGUCUAGUGGGUCUUUACCGGCUGUUUUGGCUCAUUAUGACUGUUACUUAUCCAUUCUAAAGUCUUUACCCACUAAUCGAGGCACGCGUGUCGUAUACCUCCUCUGCUCUUGAACUGUGACAUACAUUCGAGAAUAAUGGUAUAACAAGUGCAAAAAACAUUUUUAGGAGAGUAGGGUUGGAAGAGCAUGUGCUCUUGAACUGUGACAUACAUUCGAGAAUAAUAGGAUAACAAGUGCAAAAAACAAAAAUGGGGAAGAGUUAUUGGACAGAGUUCAGAUAACAAUAGAGAUCACAGAAAGACGCACAAACAUGAGUGAAAUAAGCUUCAUCACAGGCAGAUAAUUAUACAAUGUGACUUAUAUGCAGGAAGCGGCUUGUUUGCCAAGGUGGUUUGAACACCAAUACUCGCUGGGGAAGUCUGCACUUUAUUGUGUCCACAUCAUCAUGCUACAUGUAGGUGGUUCCACCCAAUUUCAUAGCUCCGUGGAGGGUCACAGCGAUCCCUACUCAACUGGUAGUCAGUGACCGCCUACGACGUUAGUAUUUAGCUUUUUUUCACAGCAAUAUUUUCUUUUUUGCAGCUCUAGUGAAUUUCUCUAUAGCAACACUUUCAUGGAUCUAAUUACCAACCAGGAAUUUGGCUGCCGAUUCACUCACAUUGAGAACGACAGAGAUCAAGAGACAAGACUCGAUCAGACACAUACACCACUCCAGGUAUGGCAAAGACCAACUCGUUCUUUUGGGACGAUUGUACAUAUUGCUAGGUUGUACAAAGACGUUAUCUCCUCCGCAGUGGGAGCCUAGGGUUUGGGAUCACCAAGCACCUCCAGUGACUGUCAGCAGAUUGCUGUAAAAGGUGAGGGUUACAAAGUAAUGUGUUAAACCAGCAUGUAUGUAAAUUUAUAAUGCAAUACUAGCCAUGUACGUGCAUUUUAUCUCCACAGUUAAUAAAUUAUCCCUGACUCUGUCAUAAUCCAUGUACACGCAUGUACCUAAAGUGUCUGUUUCGUUAUAUACGUGUGUCCAUUACAAAUGGUUGUGAUCCUCCAACUGUGUGUGUACCUCUAACUCUAAACCAUUGGAUAUCACCAUCCCCUCAUGUCCUUCUACCCACGCAUUUCUGUGUCUUACAUGGGGAGGUAUGAGUUAGCUAGCCAGGCCAAGAAACCUGGUUCAGAGCUAGCCUCUUUAUAUACAUGUCGUCGUGUGUGCUAACAGUAGUACUGAUAAUUUGCUUUUAGUGUUAUGUAUUGCAUCUCUUGUCCUUGCAGAGAACAAUUAGCUUGUGAAAGCGUGACCCUAUAUACCCAUUGGAGAUGAAGCCAAUUUAUUGUGUAGGGGGUAUUUACCGUAUUUUUUUGUCUCAGUGUGUUGUGAUUCGUGUCCCAACGACAGUGCUGGCUGCUUGACAGAAGUGAUUGACCAAUGGAUGAAGGGUUGGUCUGGACGACCAACAUGGAGUGAGCUGGCCAAUCUCGUCUCAGUAACAUAGGAGAGGAGCAAGUACAUGUAGCAAAGGAACGUGUGACCAGCUACGAGUCUGCCUCAAGGUCAAUACGAGCGAACUUAUUUCAACAUACGAGUAUUCAAUCCUCACAACAACAAUUCAACAGACAAUCGACCUUAGCCAGCACUAUAACGGGAAAUUGAACAUUUUCCAUUCACACCACUUGUUAUGUCUGCCACUGGACGUUGACCACGGAAGACACAACCUUUUACAGAAGGCUAGCCGUGCCUUGCUGACAAAUGGGAGCACUCGUACUCAUCUACUAUGGCAUGGCUCUGUUGCCGAUUGACUUUCUCACUGCUACGUUCUCCCAUAUAGUGUAUUCGUGGUGCUCGCUCCAAUUAUCGUCAUUAAACUGUAUACUAUAGCUUUACCUUUAUUUUAUUUUUUCUGUAUAUAUUUUAAAGGGGACACUCCCCCCCACAAAAAAACAAAAACAACAACAACUAAGUAUUCAGGCAAAGACUACAUUUUGUAUUAUGUUAUUGAUGUUUAGCAUUGAUACAUAGCAGUAUUUGGUCCCACUACAACUUGUGUUUCUCAUUAAUUUUACUUUUCUAAUAGUACGUUGAGUAUAUCAAAGCUAAUCUAAACUUUGAGCAUGCAGUAUGCAGUACUACUAGGAGUGUGCCCUGGUACUACGUGGUACAAUGUUAUGCAUAUGUACAUUGUUUGCAGAGUGAGUUUGACACCUAACAAUGUACGUACUGAGAAAAAUUAAUACAGCCAGGAUCGAGAAAACA